rfam:Gilliamella apicola SCGC AB-598-P17 SCG598P17_12932, whole genome shotgun sequence.
AAUUACGUGGUUCGUAAACCUCCCACGCUAAAAAACUAAGGAAAA